GAUUUUUGGAGGUUUUGGGCGAUCCUUUUCAUACUUUUGAGGCUAGCAAACAUGCAGACUUUGGAAUGGAUUCUUAUGCCUCCAAAGAGUAAUCUAAACAAAAGAAUGAAUAAGCGAUGCAUAAACCCAACGACCAAACAUUCUAUUUGCUGUGAGAUUUUACUUUUCAGGUCUUUGUUUUCGUAAGAUUGUUUCUCGACAAUCAAUUAUCUUAUUGAUCAAGCGACUAAUGCCAAAAUGGUUUCGUGUACACAGAAAGAUGUAAUUAUUCUGUAUCAUUUUUGUCUUAUAUAUCUACUAUAUAUGGUUUAAACUACAUUUGAGCCAGGUAUGUUCUUUCAUAAGUUCCAGAGAAAAAUGACUGAAUCAUGUGAUGUUAUUUUCUUUUUCUAUUCUAUCUUCUUUCUUCAUUACUUUCUGUUUAACUAGUGGUUGACUAAUGUUGUGUAAGUGAUUUCAUGAUAUUGAUGUUCAAGCUUAACUGUUCAGUUUAUGAAUAAUCCUUAUUGUUCCCACUAUGAUGAGGAUGUCUCGAAAAGACGGUUCAUCUUGUUCGCCUUGGAGUUCUGAUAUAUACCUAUUGUCUUAUGGAGGUUGCUAGGUAUGUAUAAUUCAACUUGAUCCAUUAGUCAUUUUUUUUCGGUUCUUGAGAACAUCAAUGGAGCUAUUGCUAUUAAUCAUGUGGUUAUUGUUCUGCCCAUAAGGAAUUUGUAGCUAGUAAGAAUCUGACCUCAGAUGAACAAGAGGAACUCAAGGUUUCUAUUGAAGUCAUCUAGUUAUUCUUUAAGAUGGUGAUUACGCAUAACUUUGAACAGCAUUGCAUCAAAUACAAUAUAGGACGAUGGCUUCACUCGCUCUAACACGUGAUAGGUUCCAGCAUUGCAUCACAUACAAUAGGACACUGGCUUCACUCGCGCUAACACGGUGAACUAUUUUGCACAACCUUACGCUCUUCUCCACACUAUAAUCUUAGCCUCUCUAUAAAGUGAUAGGUUCAAGAGUGGGCUAGUGUGAAUAUAGACUCUGACAAAUUGAAGGAUCUCAUGUAAGUCAAGAUUGAGACAGGUAUAUUCAUAAGAAAUUAAAGUUCCAGAGGCGUUUAAUAGCCAAGAGCAAAUGGCAAUCAUGUGACGUGGAUAUAACUUAACGUGAGCUUGCUGCUGGGUCUAUCGUCUCCAAAUUUAAUGGCUAAGUGAUUAUUAUUGGUAAAAAAGGUUUGUAUCUCAUUAUUUAAAUUGAUUAAUGUGUAUUUCAGAGCUAUAACAUGCAAGGGAUUAAAUUUGAGGUAUGGAAUCGUAUAUUCCGAGAGUUUUUGUCCACUUGGGAUGAGAGCCAAAAGUUUUUUCAAUACUACUUCAGUUUAAGGUCUUGCGUUGCAAAAGAUAUGCACAGGUCUUUAGUAUAGAACAACUAAAGAGUCAGCCACCAAAUCAUAUCAGUUAAAUCGCCGGAAUUCGUAAUCGACAACGACUGCAAUCCUCCACAUAAAGCUACGCCGUCGAACCUCCAUUCUGUCCUAGUGUCAAUGUUCUUAGCUUCUUGCAUUUAGAAUUCUAUGCCUCUAAAGCUACACCACUAUGCUUCACAUCACAUCCUUCACUAUGUCAAGAACCAGCUCCUCUAGAUUCGGUAAAACUGAGAAAACCUCAAUUAGCAUCUCCGCCGUGACAGCACAAUCUCCAGCUUCUUCACUCGUUUUCUUCUUCAACAAUGUUGACAUUCUCACAUCCACUCAUCUCUAACCAUCAAGGUUCAAUCAAGGAUACAAUUCCAACAAACAACCUCCGGAUCUCCGACGGCGUCUUCUUCCCACACAAACGACGGCGGUCUCAAACAAGAUUAGAUCGUUGGAGAAACUUAUGCCAUGGGAAAGAAAAAUGAGUUUAGCAAUGAUUCUAAAAGAAUCGAAUUUGAUUACAGGUCGAGAUGGUGUUGAUGGGAUAUGCUCUCAUUUUUUUAAUUUGAUUGAAUGUGGUCUUGAUUGUUUUAAAAAGUAGUGAAUUUGCUUUACA